AACGAACGCUGGCGGCAGGCUUAACACAUGCAAGUCGAGCGCCCCGCAAGGGGAGCGGCAGACGGGUGAGUAACGCGUGGGAAUCUACCUUUUGCUACGGAAUAACUCAGGGAAACUUGUGCUAAUACCGUAUGUGCCCUUCGGGGGAAAGAUUUAUCGGCAAAGGAUGAGCCCGCGUUGGAUUAGCUAGUUGGUGAGGUAAAGGCUCACCAAGGCGACGAUCCAUAGCUGGUCUGAGAGGAUGAUCAGCCACACUGGGACUGAGACACGGCCCAGACUCCUACGGGAGGCAGCAGUGGGGAAUAUUGGACAAUGGGCGCAAGCCUGAUCCAGCCAUGCCGCGUGAGUGAUGAAGGCCCUAAGGUUGUAAAGCUCUUUCAACGGUGAA
rnacentral:rRNA from 1 species